AUGUUCAUCUAUAACCAGAAUCCCUCCUACGGUUGGUGUGCAAGAAGCCAAAUCAGCGAGCAGUCGGGAGCCAGACACAGAAUGUGCUACAGUAUGUCAGUUUUUACAGCCCUCAACACUGAGGAGAAAUUGCACUGAAAACACAAGCCAGGAUACCUACAUGCUGCCACACAGUGGACACAUACUGCAACAGCAACUCCACUCCAGCUAACUCACAUGAAUGUGAUGACCAAUGUGAAUGGAUUGUAUUUGUAUGAUUUCUAUGUCGAAAAAUUCUGCAUUUUGAUUCAGUGUCGGCCAAGAGUGUUACUGUAAAAUUUACUAUAUAUAUUUAGAAAAAUCCACAAAAUUGUAUUUUCUUGGUGGAAUGUUAAAGUCAGUGAAGUAUAAUUUGAGCGCACUGUGCUGCAAAUUGGAAUGGCUGUUUUUCUUUAAAAACAUAAAAGAGGUGCUGUUAUUGCCAAGAAUGUAAACCUGUCACCCAUACUAAGCUAUUGUCUUCUUUUGAGAAGCUCUGCUUUUUAUUGUUAAUCAUCUUGUUUUGAAAUACAUUUCAAUGGACCAAUAAUAGGACCUAUUUUGAUGUCAGAUAAAAUAUUGUCGAUUUGUGGUGCUCAUCUGAAGCCUGAUGACAAAAGCAACCAUUUUGCCAACAAAAGGAACAGCUGAAAUGACUGUGUGGACAGUUAUAAUUAGGACGGACUUUUAACAAUGUUAUAUUUUUGUCAUGUUUACCUGAAUAUCAGUAACUGUCCGAUAGUUAUUGCUGUUGUGUUGUUUUCAGUAUACAGUACUGUCUUGUACCAGUGCUCUGAUAGAUGAUCUAUCCUUUUGCAGUACUGUGAAUGUAGCAGAAACAGUGAUUUGCUGCUGUCAGAUGAAGAGCUCAUCUUUCCCGAUAAAUAUGUUGACACCAGAGAGCAGGAAAAUGGUUAACUUCCUGCUGAUUCCUCUAUCCGCUUUUAAAUGAGCUUUGGAGUUCUGAGACUGUCAAUAAAAAUAAAAUAAUCAAAUAUAUACAAAAAAAACACAAACUGGAGUAAUGAGGCUUUUCAUUUGACAGCAGCAUAAAUAUUAUAUUAUUUCCCUGAGAAUCUGUUUUGAUGCAAGUUGUAUUGUGCUGUUUUUACCCUGCAUGCUUUUCCCUUCAUGGCUCUAUUCUCCGGCCAGACGUUUAGUUUUUUAAGGUUGCACGCCGAGUUAAGAUUCAUUUAGGAAACAUGAAGUUUUGAAAUUCCAGACAGAGGAAAUGUUUCUGUUGCCUUGUGCCCGUGGAGAGAUGAAUUCAGACUUCGAGUGCCAUAUUGUUAACUGCUGGUUCAUCAUUGAAUGAGACUCACAUUGCUGGUAUUUAUUUGUCUGUAUAAAUAGCUAAAUAGCUGCCGGUCCUUCUGUGUCACUCCCCGCCUGACGAAGGAUGUUUGUUGUCAUUCUAUGAAUGAAUCUUUCAGACUGAUGUCAUGCUAAUCCUUGUGGUCCCGGACGAUUCCUCAGUAUUAAAUGCAGCAGGCAUCACUCUAAUAUGUGUUCUGGUUUUGCAUUUCUGUGACUAAUAAGAAUGAUACUGGAAAAAAGAAAACAUGGUUUUGUCUUGUCUUUCUGAAAUGGGAAUUCAAUUAGUGGGCAUGAGCUUGCUUGAGCAGAGGGUAUUUUCAGCUUUUAUUGGCUGCUUUGAUCUAAAAAUAUAGUCUGUUUUCCUUCAAAGCUUACAUCAAUUAUUGUUAAUACUAGUAAUCUCAGGUGAAAGCUGGCAAUUUAGGUAAUUUUCAUGUUUUAACUUGAAGAGUUGAUGUUUAGGAUUUGGAAAACUUUCCAAAUCUUAGAAUAAACUUAACGUGUAAAAUACAUCUGUCAAGCCAAAAUCAAAGCAAUUUUUCUCUGUUCCUGAAAUGGUGACACUUUGGAGAUGAGGCUCACUUAACCACAGCCAUACUGUGCCUGACCCUGCACCAAAAGCACAGGAGGUCCAACAGUGAGGCGGGUGUGAGAUGAUUUGGUUCCCCCCACAUUUAAUACAAAAUAGACCAUUAGAAUACAACUCGAAUAGCUGGCAGCACAUUGUAACUUAUUGAGGCAGCUACUUUUUCUACUUUGUAAGUCCACCCUUUCCAACCGAAGACACAGCAGUUGCAACACAACAAAAUCUCUGACCACAUCCCCCUCCCAAAAACUCAAACUCGAGAGAUUUUGAAAUCGAUUCUGUAACUGCCACCACUUCUGCCAUCCUUCAUGUGACCACGAUCCAGUGUCCUCUAACUGUCUAUUACACACAUUAAUAACCAGCCUCGAAUGAGCCUUGCAGUCGAUGCCACAUCUAGUUACUCUAAGAAAUUAAGUCAGUCCAGGCCUCUGAUUGCCUGUCUCCCACUCUGUAUGUUCAGUUCUAUGGGAGGACAUUGAUCUGACUAUAGCCAGCCUUUGAGUCGGCUCAUAUCUCAC
rnacentral:lncRNA from 15 species